rnacentral:rRNA from 1 species
GACGAACGCUGGCGGCGUGCUUAACACAUGCAAGUCGAACGGAAAGGCCCUGCUUGCAGGGUGCUCGAGUGGCGAACGGGUGAGUAACACGUGGGUGAUCUGCCCCUUACUUUGGGAUAAGCCUGGGAAACUGGGUCUAGUACUGGAUAGGACCAUGCUGUAGGUGGUGUGGUGGAAAGAUUAGUUUCGGUAAGGGAUGAGCUCGCGGCCUAUCAGCUUGUUGGUGGGGUAAUGGCCUACCAAGGCGUCGACGGGUAGCCGGCCUGAGAGGGUGGACGGCCACAUUGGGACUGAGAUACGGCCCAGACUCCUACGGGAGGCAGCAGUGGGGAAUAUUGCACAAUGGGCGCAAGCCUGAUGCAGCGACGCCGCGUGGGGGAUGACGGGCUUCGGGUUGUAAACUCCUUUCAGCCAUGACGAAGCCCUUGUGGUGACGGUAGUGGUAGAAGAAGCACCGGCUAACUACGUG